UACAGAGGGUGCGAGCGUUAAUCGGAAUUACUGGGCGUAAAGCGUGCGUAGACGGUUAUCUAAGUCGGAUGUGAAAGCCCCGGACUCAACCUGGGAAUUGCAUUCGAGACUGCGUAGCUAGGGUGCGGAAGAGGGAAGCGGAAUUUCCGGUGUAGCGGUGAAAUGCGUAGAUAUCGGAAGGAACAUCAGUGGCGAAAGCGACUUCCUGGUCCAGCACCGACGUUCAGGCACGAAAGCGUGGGGAGCAAACAGG
rnacentral:rRNA from 1 species